CUGACAUUAAAAUGACAGGAGCAGCCGUCGAAGUUUAUAGCGAAAGGGGAUUACAGUUAUGAUGCAGGUCCAAAAGCAGCUAGCAGCGAAGUUUUGUAACUGCAGGAUCGAUCCGCCCAGCCCUAAUGGUAGCGUCAGCAAGACCCUCAUGAAGGUUGACCGCUUUUGUCCCAUCACCGUGGUUCGUAAGCACGAAGAAGAGGGUGACAAUCCAGAGGAUUGUGCGGAUGAGCAGGUGUCUGGCAGCAACCUUCGGGCUAGACUUGAAGUCACAUCAGGACCGUGUAAAUUCACAUGGCUAUUAAGGGAAACUGAUAAAUAUUAGGCAAUUCCUCAAUUCCAACUAUUGAGUAAAAACUAGUGAAAGAGAAAGUAGAGAAAACUAGUGUUGGCUAGGAUUACUUUUUUGUAUUCAAGUGAACCUGUAAUCCUAUUCCCAGUGAAGAGGGUCUCAUUUGCCCCCCUCCACGCUGAGGGCUGUAAUUUCCUCAGCAAUCCCUGAAUAAAAUAGGAAUGUGAAUAUGACUGGUAGAAAGUUGUAUGGAGAAUAUAGCCAUAUUCAUAUGAUUGAUAUGACUUAAGUGAAAAUCAACUACAAAGUUGUCCCUCUCUACCGGUAAUUACUUAACGCUAACUAGUGUCUCCACUGCACUGAAUAAAGCUAGCACCAUGUUAACAUGUGUAAACUCAGUUUGUGUUUAUUACACCACACCUGUUGUGUUGCCUAUGUUGAGGAUUUGGUAGUUGUAAAUGAUGAAAGGAUAUGAAUAUGAAACAUGACCGACGGUAGAUGCAGAUGUUAUAUCACAAGUUAAUUUGUGCGCACUGCACUCUACCACAACUAACAGUCAUAUCCACUAUGCGUUCGAGCUGCAGCGUCAACAACCAUCUCAAACUGUUUCCCAUACAGUCUAUACGUAGUCUAAGUAACACUAAAACCGUAACACCGGCGCCAUAUUGAUAAAAAGACAUUGGCUGAUAAACUUUCUGCAGGUACCAUGAGGAAUCGCUACUUCAAUCAGAAGUGGUUGGACAACUGAAGGGAAAGAAUACAAAGCCCACUGUUUUUUGCAAGACGUUUU
ensembl:lncRNA